AUGCAAGUCGAACGGGCUUAGAUCGGAAGCUUGCUUUGAGUUUAAGUAGUGGCGGACGGGUGAGUAACGGCGUGGGUAACCUACCCUGGUGCAGGGGGAUAGCAGCUGGAAACGGCUGAUAAAACCGCAUAACACGGCGAUGCCGCAUGGCAAUGCCGUCAAAUAGUUUAUAGGCACAGGGAUGGGCCCGCGUCUGAUUAGCUAGUUGGCGGGGCAACGGCCCACCAAGGCGACGAUCAGUAGCCGGCCUGAGAGGGUGAACGGCUACAUUGGGACUGAGACACGGCCCAAACUCCUACGGGGAGGCAGCAGUGGGGAAUAUUGGACAAUGGGGGAAACCCUGAUCCAGCGACGACCCGCGUGAGUGAAGAAGUAUUUCGGUAUGUAAAGCUCUAUCAGCAGGGAAGAUGAUGACGGUACCUGACUAAGAAGCACCGGCUAAAUACGUGCCAGCAGCAGC
rnacentral:rRNA from 1 species